CAGAGGUCCCGAGCGUUGUUCGGAUUCACUGGGCGUAAAGGGUGCGUAGGUGGCGGUGGAAGUUUGAUGUGAAAGCUCAGGGCUUAACCCUGAAAUGGCAUUGAAUACUCCAUUGCUGGAGGUUUGGAGGGGACGUGGAAUUCUUGGUGUAGCAGUGAAAUGCGUAGAUAUCAAGAGGAACACCAGUGGCGAAGGCGAGUCCCUGGACAACACCUGACACUGAGGCACGAAAGCUAGGGAGCAAACAGGAUU
rnacentral:rRNA from 1 species